AAAUUACAGGCCCCUUUUCUCUCCUCGGUGCUGGAGCGCAAAUCCAAAAGCCUCUUGCGUAGAAGGCAUGCGCUUCUCAGCGAGCUGCUAUGUCUGCAGGCCUCCUAUGUUACGUCCUUAACAUCUCUGACAUCUUCACAGGAUUGAGUCUGUAUGAGUCAUUUCUGACGCUUUCAGCGGAAGCAUUCAUUUCUCACUAGGCACCUUUUCUAGCUUUCUGGGUCUGUGUGGUGUCUACUCUGUGUGCCCCAGACUGUAUGAACCAAGAAAGAACCUGCAUGACAGCUUCUUGCCUUAUGAAAACUGACCAGCAGAUGUGAUUUCUCUGUCACUUGACUUCAGGACAUGUGAUAUCUUCAGGGUCUUAUCAACCAGCUCUGGCGGACACCAAAGAGGAAUAGCAAGAGGCUGUACUGUAGGAGGCUCUGAGACCUCCCUGAACAACAACUCAUGUGGCUCCUGAAGUUCCUGCCUAGACUCCCCUGCUGAGAUGGACUGUAACUUGGGCUUCUACACUCUUUCUUUCCUAAGCUGCUUUCAACCUAACUUCUGAGGUGGGAGGACACAGCUCGCUGCUCUCUGCGGGGAGAGAGAGUAAGUGGAUGGAUAAAUCGGCCAUGCGAGAAACAAUCUGUGGCCCAAGUAUCUGCACAAAGGCCUCCGGGUGAAUGCUGCGGGGGUGAGGUCUUGACUGUUUUGUCUGGGGCUGCUUCUCAGGGUUGUGCUUUGGUGAACAGCCCUA